CGGGCUGGCCGGGCGACCGCGUUGGCCGGAGUGAUCCGGUCACCGAGGAAGGUCCGGGCUCCACAGAGCAAGGUGGUGGGUAACACCCACCCGGGGUGACCCGCGGGACAGUGCCACAGAGAACAGACCGCCGGCCCUCUCCUCCGGGAGAGAGCUGGUAAGGGUGAAACGGUGGAGUAAGAGACCACCAGCGACCCGGGCGACCGGGUCGGCUCGGCAAACCCCACCUGGAGCAAGGUCAGACAGCGCACGUUCGAGGGCUGCUCGCCCGAGUGCGCGGGUAGAUCGCUGGAGGCUGUCGGUAACGGCAGUCGUAGAUGGAUGGUCGCCCCUCGGUGCUCGCACCGAGGACAGAACCCGGCCUACAGGCCAGCCCGUCCG
rnacentral:RNase_P_RNA from 1 species